rnacentral:rRNA from 1 species
UAAUACGGAGGGUGCAAGCGUUAUCCGGAAUCAUUGGGUUUAAAGGGUCCGCAGGCGGAUUUAUAAGUCAGUGGUGAAAGCCCGUCGCUUAACGACGGAACUGCCAUUGAUACUGUAAGUCUUGAAUUCGAUCGAAGUGGGCGGAAUAUGACAUGUAGCGGUGAAAUGCUUAGAUAUGUCAUAGAACACCGAUAGCGAAGGCAGCUCACUAGGUCUGGAUUGACGCUCAGGGACGAAAGCGUGGGGAGCAAACAGGAUUAGAUACCCUGGUAGUCCACGCCGUAAACUAUCAAUACUCGUUCUCGGGACUUUAGUGUUUCGGGGACUAAGCGAAAGUGAUAAGUAUUGCACCUGGGGAGUACGAUCGCAAGGUUG